rnacentral:tRNA from 1 species
GGUCUCGUAGCCUAGCCUGGAUAGGGCGACAGCCUUCUAAGCUGUAGGUCGUGGGUUCAAAUCCCACCGGGACCG